CUGCGGGGAGGGGCCGGAGGCCGGGGACGGAGGCCGGGGUGGGAGGAGGGGAGGCGGCCGCGCCAGGAGCCGAGGCUGGGAGGACGACUGCAUUCUCCACUCCGGGACACCCGCGGGGAGAGGCCGGAGGCCGGGGUGGGAGGAGGGAAGGCGGCGGCGCUGGUAGCCGAGGCUGGGAGGACGGCUGCAUUUUCCACUCCGGGACACCCGCGGGGAGAGGCCGGAGGCCGGGGACGGAGGCCGAGCUUCCCGCACUCCACACCCCUUUCCCUUACUGCUUUCGAUUUCUAGACUUGCCAGCAGUUGCAGAGGCAAGAACAGGUUCAUCCGGGUAAGAGGUUCCCGCCCACCCUGGUGCCUUAAGGGGCACCUUGCACCUCCCUUCCGCCCGGGUCUCUCACCUGUCGAGGGAGUUUCAGCGAGGAAAGGCGGGACAGGGCACUGAGUGCCGUGGAAACAGGCUGCGGUUGGCUGAACUGUGCCGUCCGUCCCCCAGCUGGCCCCAGCGUCAGUUCAGGCCCCUGCAGGUACCAUCACCGAGCCAGGUGCGCCCUGGGCUCUAGAAGAACAGCGGGUAACGUUGUUAAGGACCACCUUGGAGCGUCAGGAAAAUAAUACUACCUCAGAUAAGAAUGUGAAAUUAUACAAAGAGACAGAGUCUCACUUUAUCGCCCUCGAUAGAGUGCCAUGGCAUCACACAGCUCACAGCAACCUCCAACUCCUGGGCUGAAGCGAUUCUCUUGCCUCAGCCUCCCGAGCAGCUGGGACUACAGGCGCCCGCCACAACGCCCAGCUAUUUUUUGGUUUGCAGUUCAGCCGGGGCCAGGUUUGAACCCGCCACCCUCGGUAUGUGGGGCUGGUGCCCUACCGACUGAGCCACAGGCGCCACCCCGAAUCUAUUUAAUUCUUACAACAACCUUAUGAGAUCAUGGAGAUAGAAGCAAAGAAACACAUGGUCAUCCUGGCCUGGAGUUACCCCUGUGUGGUGGCAAUAAUUUGGAACCUUCUUGGUACCAACAUCAGUUAACAUACUGGCUGGAUCAGACAACAUAAUCCUCUGCUAAAUGAUGGAUGACAAUAAUAAAAAAAGGGAGUUCUCAACCACAUGUGUUGCUCGGAAUGUGGAGAGUUAAACCUGACUUCCAGCUUGAUUGGUUCAUAUACUCACUCCACACAAGGGUGAAGGUGGCUGUUCGAUGCGUCUAAACAUUGUCACGUGUUUCAAAAAUAAAUCAAUUCAUGAAUAA